GGCCAGACUCUGAACCUGGGUAGCAAUUUAUUUUUAGCCAAACUGAUAACACAUUUCUCUCUGUCUGCCCAGUCCUGCCAAAAAAGCAGGUGUGGUUACAGGUGCAACAUCUCUCUCUCUUACUCAUUAUCUGUACACACAGUCAAUCUAGGCCUUGCUCUCUCUGUCUCUCACUGUUUCUCUCUCUGCUUUCUCUUGUUUUGCUCAUUUGUGUGUAAUCCAUACCUGGAUGAGCGCCAGCCGUGUCUGCAAGCACCUGCGUCAGCCGGCCGUGCAAAACAACACACUCCACACUCUCCUCCACAGUCAACAGCCUCUCUGAGUAAAGCUGAAUCCUACUCACAUGCAGCCCCAAUAAAAUGCCACAUGGUCACCGUAGCCACCAGAUCCGGUCUGUAUCCAAGUCAGAGGGUCACUGCAAUCACCCAGAUCCAGUAUGUAUCCAGCCCAGAUGGUGGAUCAGCACCUAAAAAGGACCUCUACAGCCCUGAAAGACAGCGGAGACUAGGACAACUAGAUGAGCCCCAGAUCCCCUGUAAAGGCCUUAUCUCAGACGACCACCGGGACAAGACCACAGGAAACGGAUGAUUCUUCUGCACAAUCUGACUUUGCUGCAGCCUGGAAUUGAACUGCUGAUUUCGUCUGGCCAGAGGAGAACUGGCCCCCCAACUGAGCCUGGUUUCUCCCAAGGUUUUUUCUCCAUUCUGUCACCGAUGGAGUUUUGAUUCCUUGCCGCUGUCGCCUCUGGCUUGUUUAGUUGGGGACACUUCAUUUACAGCGAUAUCAGCGAUGACUUGAUUGCAAAUGAUUGCACAGAUACUAUUUAAACUGAACUGAGCUGGAUGAUGACAUCACUGAAUUCAAUGAUGAACUGCUUUAACUGUCAUUUUGCAUUAUUGACACUGUUUUCCUAAUUAAUGUUGUUAAGUUGCUUUGACACAAUCUUUUUUUGUUUAAAGCGCUAUAUAAAUAAAGGUGAUUUGACUUGACUAUCACCUGUCUAUCUCCUGUCUAUCUAUCUAUUACCUUACUAUCACCUCUCUGUCUAUCUAUCAACUGUCUGUCUAUCACCUAUCUGUCUAUCUAUCGCCUGUUUAUCACCUACCUGUCUGUCUCCACUCUGUCUAUCUAUCUCCUGUCAGUCUAUCUAUCAACUGUCUGUCUUCCGCCUGUCUAUCUAUCACCUGUCUGUCUUCCAUCUAUCUGUCAAUCUAUCUAUUUUCUGUCUAUCUACUGCCUGUCUAUCUCUCAGUCACCUGUCUAUCUUUCACCUGUCUGUCUAUCUAUCAUCUGGCUGUCUAUAUAUCCAUCCAUCUAUUCAUUUGUCUAACUAUAUUGUCCAUCCAUCCAUCCAUCCAUCCAUCCAUCCAUCCAUCCAUCCAUCCAUCCAUCCAUCCAUCCAUCCAUCCAUCCAUCCACCCAUCCAUCUCUGUUCGUCCAUCCGUCUGUCCAUCUAUCUGUCUAUCUACAUUUCAGAUACAGGUAAUCAUAUUUAUUAAUCUAUUACUGUUUUAAAAUGUUGAUUUUUAUCACCAGUGUUAUAUAAUGUGAAGCAACUGUUUGUCAUUCAAGCUGAUCAUGCAUUUGUUAUGAAUGCAUAUGUUUGUCAAUUUCAAAAUGAUAAAAGGAAUGCAAUCUAAUGAAACAAAGCACCUGUCUUUUGAAAAGGUGAAAUACAGGGUGUAUUCAGCUAACACUGAAGUAUUAUAUCUUUGUGAGUAAUUCUAUAUGAGCUGUUAAGCCUCACACUGUCCUGUCUGUGUUCCCUUUUGUGUCCCCUCGUUAAUCCUGUGUAGGUGUGCAGUGAUGCCCCUUAAUUAACUUGGUAAGUGUUUAAGAUACACAAUGUACUUUCCAGGCAUGAACCAGAUCCUCAAGAGCACAACAAGGAGAGAAGAGUGGGUGGAGGAGGAAAAGUGAUAGAGAUAAACACAGGCUAACAGAACAGUGUCAUCCUCAUAUAGUACAUAUGACCUCAAUCAAAAUCUAUGAACACUUUCACAACAAUUAAUUUGACUUGUAAUUAAAAUCAAGCAGAUUAGGUAGUAACUGAUUUAAACACUGAUUAUAAAACGCAAAUGAGAUGAUGAUGAUGACUUGUGUGUUCAUGAAUAUUAAUGUAUAUGUGUCAAUAUGACCCUCCAUAUAACCCUCCCAGGCCGGACACUACACUCCCUUCCUUCAUUGCUUGUCCAUCUCGUGGGAGGGGAAUCAAUUAUUAUUAUUUUUUUAAAUUAGUCCUGCGCAUAUUGUGCUAAAUAUAAGCCUUAUUGUCAUGAUCUAAUAAGCAGAAGGCCGGAGUUUGACCCCUGUCAGAUGAGCGCUGGGGGUUGCGUUAAGGCCCUCAUAGCUCUUGAGCAGCGAGUACAAUUCAUUACAGAGACCCAGUGUAACGAGACAAGCCCACCACACAUCAACACGAGGCCUGUCAACCCCACUGGCAUGGGGAAGGGAAUUAUUUUUACCUUGUCAAGUGGGAUCGUGAAAGUUUGUGUGAAAUUUGUGUGUAGAAUGACAGUGUACGACUGACAGAAUGUCCUCUCCUUAGUAAUUGACUUGUAUGCUCUGCACUAUAAUCAAAUGACACACUUCACCUUAAACAAUAUCAGAAGAAAGAUUUAUUGGCAUAUUUGUUAAAAUGACAGAUCUGUGGUCAAGUCAAGUUAAGUCACCUUUAUUUAAAUAGCGCUUUAUGCAAUAAAUGUUGUGUCAAAGCAGCAGUGUUAAAUAGCAAAAUAGUGUAUCGAUAAUGCAGGAGGACAAUAGUAAACAGGGCUAAGAUACUAUGUCCAUUUCUGAGGGCACAUUGUUAUUGUUAUCUAAAACUAAAAUUUAAACUAAAACAUAAAUUGCUAAAAAAGAUUAACAAUUGAUUUGAAUUUAAAUAAAGCUGAAAUAAAAUAGAAAUAUUAUAUGGCAAACUUAAACUUUAAGUUGAUAACUAAAACUGAAAUUAAAAUAAAAUAAAGCUAAAAAAUACAAAAAAAAUAUAUAAUAAAAACAUAAAAUAUACAAAUAAAUGUUUGUUCAAAAUAUGAAUGAAUAAAUAAUACUAAAAUAUCAAAGAUUUACACAGGAAAUACACAUGCAGACAAAUUUUUGGCUUAUUACUAUUAUUAUUAUUAUUUUCAGCAUAAUGGCACUGCUUUUCCUACAGUAAAUAUGUCAAGUUAAAAAUAGUUCAACUUUUUAAAUAUAUUCCUAAACAUUAAUAUAUGCAAUAAAUAAGUACAAUAAUAUAUAUAUAUAUAUAUAUAUAUAUAUAUAUAUAUAUAUAUAUAUAUUAUUAUUAUUAUUAUUAUUAUUA
ensembl:lncRNA